rnacentral:rRNA from 1 species
CUAACACAUGCAAGUCGAGCGGUAGAGAGAAGCUUGCUUCUCUUGAGAGCGGCGGACGGGUGAGUAAUGCCUAGGAAUCUGCCUGGUAGUGGGGGAUAACGUUCGGAAACGGACGCUAAUACCGCAUACGUCCUACGGGAGAAAGCAGGGGACCUUCGGGCCUUGCGCUAUCAGAUGAGCCUAGGUCGGAUUAGCUAGUUGGUGGGGU